CCUACGGGAGGCAGCAGUGGGGAAUAUUGCACAAUGGGGGAAACCCUGAUGCAGCAACGCCGCGUGAGCGAUGAAGUAUUUCGGUAUGUAAAGCUCUAUCAGCAGGGAAGAAGAUGACGGUACCUGACUAAUAAGCCCCGGCUAACUACGUGCCAGCAGCCGCGGUAAUACGUAGGGGGCAAGCGUUAUCCGGAUUUACUGGGUGUAAAGGGCGCGUAGGCGGGGAUGCAAGCCAGAUGUGAAAGCCCGGGGCUUAACCCCGGGACUGCAUUUGGAACUGGUUGGCUGGAGUGUCGGAGAGGCAGGCGGAAUUCCUGGUGGAGCGGUGAAAUGCGUAGAGAUUAGGAGGAACA
rnacentral:rRNA from 1 species